rnacentral:rRNA from 1 species
GACGUAGGGGGCGAGCGUUGUCCGGAAUGACUGGGCGUAAAGGGCGCGUAGGCGGCACGAGACGUCCGGGGUUAAAGGGUUGGGCUCAACCUGACCACGGCCCUGGAAACGGGCGAGCUAGAGGGUCGGAGAGGCAAGCGGAAUUCCCGGUGUAGCGGUGAAAUGCGUAGAGAUCGGGAGGAACACCAGUGGCGAAGGCGGCUUGCUGGACGAUACCUGACGCUGAGGCGCGAAAGCCAGGGGAGCAAACGGG